UACGUAGGGUGCAAGCGUUAUCCGGAAUUACUGGGCGUAAAGGGUGCGUAGGCGGUUUUUUAAGUCUGUCGUGAAAUCCCCGGGCUCAACCUGGGAAUGGCGAUGGAUACUGGGCAGCUAGAGUGUGUCAGAGGAUGGUGGAAUUCCCGGUGUAGCGGUGAAAUGCGUAGAGAUCGGGAGGAACAUCAGUGGCGAAGGCGGCCAUCUGGGACAACACUGACGCUGAAGCACGAAAGCGUGGGGAGCAAACAGG
rnacentral:rRNA from 1 species